rnacentral:rRNA from 1 species
CGAACUUGGAGAUAGCUGGUUCUCUCCGAAAUAGCUUUAGGGCUAGCCUCAAGUGAUGAUUAUUGGAGGUAGAGCACUGUUUGGACGAGGGGCCCCUCUCGGGUUACCGAAUUCAGACAAACUCCGAAUGCCAAUUAAUUUAACUUGGGAGUCAGAACAUGGGUGAUAAGGUCCGUGUUCGAAAGGGAAACAGCCCAGACCACCAGCUAAGGUCCCAAAAUAUAUGUUAAGUGGAAAAGGAUGUGGCGUUGCCCAGACAACUAGGAUGUUGGCUUAGAAGCAGCCAUCAUUUAAAGAGUGCGUAAUAGCUCACUAGUCGAGUGACACUGCGCCGAAAAUGUACCGGGGCUAAACAUAUUACCGAAGCUGUGGAUUGUCCUUUGGACAAUGGUAGGAGAGCGUUCUAAGGGCGUUGAAGCAUGAUCGCAAGGACAUGUGGAGCGCUUAGAAGUGAGAAUGCCGGUGUGAGUAGCGAAAGACGGGUGAGAAUCCCGUCCACCGAUUGACUAAGGUUUCCAGAGGAAGGCUCGUCCGCUCUGGGUUAGUCGGGUCCUAAGCUGAGGCCGACAGGCGUAGGCGAUGGAUAACAGGUUGAUAUUCCUGUACCACCUAGUAUCGUUUUAAUCGAUGGGGGGACGCAGUAGGAUAGGCGAAGCGUACGAUUGGAUUGUACGUCUAAGCAGUGAGACUGAGUGUUAGGUAAAUCCGGCACUCAUAAGGUCAAGCUGUGAUGGGGAGAGGAAAUUGUUUCCUUGAGUCGUUGAUUUCACACUGCCAAGAAAAGCCUCUAGAUAGAUAACAGGUGCCCGUACCGCAAACCGACACAGGUAGUCAAGAUGAGAAUUCUAAGGUGAGCGAGCGAACUCUCGUUAAGGAACUCGGCAAAAUGACCCCGUAACUUCGGGAGAAGGGGUGCUCUUUAGGGUGCAAGCCCAGAAGAGCCGCAGUGAAUAGGCCCAAGCGACUGUUUAUCAAAAACACAGGUCUCUGCUAAACCGUAAGGUGAUGUAUAGGGGCUGACGCCUGCCCGGUGCUGGAAGGUUAAGAGGAGUGGUUAGCUUCUGCGAAGCUACGAAUCGAAGCCCCAGUAAACGGCGGCCGUAACUAUAACGGUCCUAAGGUAGCGAAAUUCCUUGUCGGGUAAGUUCCGACCCGCACGAAAGGCGUAACGAUUUGGGCACUGUCUCAACGAGAGACUCGGUGAAAUCAUAGUACCUGUGAAGAUGCAGGUUACCCGCGACAGGACGGAAAGACCCCGUGGAGCUUUACUGUAGCCUGAUAUUGAAAUUCGGCACAGCUUGUACAGGAUAGGUAGGAGCCAUUGAAACGUGAGCGCUAGCUUACGUGGAGGCGCUGGUGGGAUACUACCCUAGCUGUGUUGGCUUUCUAACCCGCACCACUUAUCGUGGUGGGAGACAGUGUCAGGCGGGCAGUUUGACUGGGGCGGUCGCCUCCUAAAAGGUAACGGAGGCGCUCAAAGGUUCCCUCAGAAUGGUUGGAAAUCAUUCAUAGAGUGUAAAGGCAUAAGGGAGCUUGACUGCGAGACCUACAAGUCGAGCAGGGUCGAAAGACGGACUUAGUGAUCCGGUGGUUCCGCAUGGAAGGGCCAUCGCUCAACGGAUAAAAGCUACCCCGGGGAUAACAGGCUUAUCUCCCCCAAGAGUUCACAUCGACGGGGAGGUUUGGCACCUCGAUGUCGGCUCAUCGCAUCCUGGGGCUGUAGUCGGUCCCAAGGGUUGGGCUGUUCGCCCAUUAAAGCGGUACGCGAGCUGGGUUCAGAACGUCGUGAGACAGUUCGGUCCCUAUCCGUCGUGGGCGUAGGAAAUUUGAGAGGAGCUGUCCUUAGUACGAGAGGACCGGGAUGGAC